UCAAGCUAAUAAGAGCGCAAGGGGAAUGCCUUGGCAUCAGGAGCCGACGAAGGACGUGACAAGCUGCGAUAAGCUACGGUAAGGAGCAAAUAUCCUGUGACCCGUAGAUUUCCGAAUGGGGCAACCCGGCUGGACAAUAUCCAGUCAUCCUGCAUUGAAUAAAAUAGGUGUAGGAAGGGAACCGCCUGAACUGAAACAUCUAAGUAGGGCGAGGAAAAGACAUCAACCGAGAUUCCGCAAGUAGUGGCGAGCGAACGCGGAAGAGGCCAAACCGGAGGAUUUAUUCUCCGGGGUUGCGGACAGCUAUACGGAACAAUAGUUUAGCCGAACGGUCUGGGAAGGCCGGUCGCAGAGGGUGAGAACCCCGUAGGCGAAAGACGAAUUGUUUCAGGCUGGAUCCAGAGUACCGCAGGACACGUGAAACCCUGUGGGAAACAGGGGGGACCACCCUCCAAGCCUAAAUACUACCUGAUGACCGAUAGAGGAGCAGUACCGUGAGGGAAAGGUGAAAAGGACCCCGGGAGGGGAGUGAAAGAGAACCUGAAACCUUGUGCUUACAAGCAGUCAGAGCACGUUAACGUGUGAUGGCGUACUUUUUGUAGAACGGUCCGGCGAGUUAUAGUAACGAGCAAGCUUAAGGUAUUCAGUACCGGAGGCGAAGCGAAAGCGAGUCUGAAUAGGGCGCAUGAAGUUCGUUGCCAUAGACCCGAAACCGGGUGACCUACGCAUGAGCAGGUUGAAGUGGGGGUGAAACCCCAUGGAGGACCGAACCAACCCCCGUUGCAAUGGUGGUGGAUGACUUGUGCGUAGCGGUGAAAUUCCAAUCGAACUCGGAGAUAGCUGGUUCUCCCCGAAAUAGCUUUAGGGCUAGCGUUAGUUUAGAUUACCGGAGGUAAAGCACUGAAUGGUUUAGGGGCUGAUAAAGUUACCGACGCCUAUCAAACUCUGAAUGCCGGAUAAUUGAUGACUAGCAGUCAGACAGUGUGAGAUAAGUUUCAUUGUCAAAAGGGAAACAGCCCAGACCUACAGCUAAGGUCCCAAAUGUAUGCUAAGUGGAAAACGAUGUGGAAUUGCGAAAACAACCAGGAUGUUGGCUUAGAAGCAGCCACACAUUAAAAGAGUGCGUAAUAGCUCACUGGUCGAGUGACUCUGCGCGGAAAAUGUAACGGGGCUAAGCAUGCAACCGAAGCUUAGGAUUGUCUAAAGACAGUGGUAGGGGAGCGUUCUGUAUGGGGUGAAGUCGCAGCGAGAGCAGCGGUGGACUGUACAGAAGUGAGAAUGCCGGAAUGAGUAGCGAGAAUUAUGUGGGAAUCAUAAUGGCCGAAAAUCUAAGGUUUCUUGGGGAAGGUUCGUCCGCCCAAGGUAAGUCGGGAGCUAAGCUCAGGCCGCGAGGCGUAGGCGAUGCACAUACGGUAGAAAUUCCGUAACCACCGAACUUUAAGCAUGAGGGACACUUUGAGAUAGCGGAACCCGGGCGUUGGUUGACCCGGGCGAAAGGGACCGAAAUAUAGUAGGGAAGUCCGCGAUGCUCAGAGGCGAGAAAAGCUCAUGUGUAUACUAAGGUGCCCGUACCGCAAACCGACACAGGUAGAUGAGGAGAGAAUCCUAAGGCCAACGGGAGAAGGGUUGUUAAGGAACUCGGCAAGAUGACCCCGUAACUUCGGAAGAAGGGGAGCCUCGAAAGAGGCCGCAGUGAAUAGGCCCAAGCAACUGUUUACCAAAAACACAGGUUUAUGCUAAAUCGAAAGAUGACGUAUAUGAGCUGACGCCUGCCCGGUGCCGGAAGGUUAAGAGGAGAUGUCAACCGCAAGGUGAAGCAUUGAAUUGAAGCCCCGGUAAACGGCGGCCGUAACUAUAACGGUCCUAAGGUAGCGAAAUUCCUUGUCAGGUAAGUUCUGACCCGCACGAAAGGCGUAAUGAUUUGGGCACUGUCUCAACAG
rnacentral:rRNA from 1 species